rnacentral:rRNA from 1 species
AUGUUUGCACGGUUUCUUCAAACUUGGGUUGUUCGGUUCAUGCAACUUGGUCACAAACGGAAAAUGUUUUUAAAAACGGGAGACAGAAGCAGUAGAGAUGAAACUAGAAAGCCCUGGACCCCCACCCCCAUGCGGCGGGCGCACAUGAAGCGCGUGCGAGAUGAAACAAGUGGCCGGAGACGAGGCAAAGCCGCGGUCGACAAGAGACACGGAGACAGGGAGAGAGAUAGAGAGGGGCAAAAGAAAGGAAAAGAAAAGCGGUGGCAACUCUCCCACCCAAUACGCAUCCGUCGCCAUCAUCCACCCGUACCCGCCUCCCCGGCCCUCAAUCUUCACGUGUUCUUCGUGCCCCGCACCACCUCCACCACGUCUCCUUCACUCGCCUAA